rnacentral:lncRNA from 1 species
UUCUUUUUAUUUCCUCUUUUGUAUAUAAAUAUAGGAUCAACAAUUGUAAAUGGGAUCAUCAAUAUACACAGAAAUUUUCAAUUCUGUUUGCUUUCUUUCAUGGUAUCAGAGCAAGGUUAAUCACAAAUCCUCUAUAUUUUAAUCUAUCACCCUAAGCAACACAAAUGCCUGAUUCUGUAGUCUCUACUGGAGCAACGACUGGUAGUAUCAACACUACUCCAGGAAUUGAUUCCAAUCACCCCUAUUUCCUCACAAACUCAGAUGCACCUGGUAUGACUCUUGUUAAUGGUGUCUUUGAUGGGAAAGGAUACCAGGCAUGGAAGAGAUCUGCCCUCAUUGCUCUUUCAGCAAAGAACAAGCUGGGUUUUAUUACAGGGGAUCAACCUACACCAGCUGUUGGUUCUUCAGAUCUACAGUUAUGGAGUAGAUGUAAUGACAUGGUGACUUCAUGGUUGCUUAAUUCCCUCUCGAGGGAAAUUGCUGAUAGUGUGAUUUACUCCAGAUCUGCUAGAGAACUUUGGCUCAGCUUGGAGCAUCGAUUUGGUCAGUCAAAUGGUGCUAAACUUUUUCACCUGCAAAAGGAAAUAAGCAGGUUAGUUCAAGGAAAUAAUAACAUAGCAGGGUAUUUCACUAAUCUUAAAAGACUCUGGGAUGAACUAGACUCUUUGAAUUCAAACAUCAAAUGUUCUUGUGUAUGUGUGUGUGAAGGAAAACAUAAAAUGGAGAAAUCUAUCGAGGAUGAAAAGCUUAUUCACUUCCUUAUGGGACUCAAUGACACUUAUGCUCAGGCUAGAGGAAACAUCUUAAUGAUGAAUCCACUUCCUGACAUUAAUAUUGCAUACUCUUUGAUCUUGCAAGAUGAAAAUCAGAAGGAGACUUACAUGAGUCCUUUCAUGCCCUCUGAUUCAUCAUCUUUCAUGGUGAAUAGCAACAUGAAUCAGCACAGAGGAAGGCAGCCUCAACAAUUCACUGGCAACACAUUCAGAUCUGGAAAUACAUAUCCCAGGAAUGACAAUUCACAAGUCUCACAGAAACCUCAAAAACAGUUUCAGAAGUUCAAAGGGAAAAAGGGAAAGUAUGAUCCUAAUGCAAACUGUACCCACUGUGGAAAGAAUGGACACUUGAAGUUGAACUGUUAUAGGUUGAUUGGGUUUCCAGAAGACUUUCAGUUUACAAAUGAGAAGGGUAGUCAUGGUCAAAUAAGAGGAAAUGCAGUGGUCAAUACGGAAGAGGCAGAAGCUGGAUCUAAUGCUCAUGCUAUCAAUCAACACUUCACUCAGGACCAAAUCAAUUUUCUGUUUCAAAAUGGGAAAGAGUUACUUCAAGCCUUCACACAAAUGAAAGUGGAGGAUAAGACCAACUUCUCAAAUGCUUCUGAAAUCAAUGCAAAUGCAGUAGCUGGUACAUUAAUGAAGUAUUUUGGUUCUUGUUUCUCUGUUUUCAAUUCAAAUACAUGGAUUGUAGAUUCGGAUUCCUGUUUCUCUGUUUUCAAUUCAAAUACAUGGAUUGUAGACUCGGGUGCUUCAGAACAUAUGUGUUUUAAUCCUGAUUCUUUCUUAUCUAUGUCCCCCCUUACAGUUCCUCUAAACAUCAAUCUUCCUAAUUCAGAAUCUAUCAAUGUUACGCAUACUGGUGUUGUAUGUUUGUUUUCUGACCUAAUUCUGACUAAUGUCCUCUAUGUUCCUAGUUUCAAAUAUAACUUAUUAUCAGUUCAUAAGUUAUGUUGUCAAUUCAAUUUCUCAAUCCUUUUCAACUCUAAUGAAUGUCUAAUGCAGGGCCAUUCCAUGAAGAAUCCUCAAGUUUUUGGUAGAGCUAAGGAGGGUCUCUACUUGCUUCAGCCAUAUUCUAAGAAGUCUAUUUUUCAGUCCACUGUUUCCCAGUUAUCUAAAAAUCAUGUUUCUUUUCCUUUGUCUGUCUGUUCUAGUGCAAUUUCUGAUGUAAAGCUGUGGCACAUUAGACUUGGGCAUUUGCCCUUAACAUCAAUGAAAAAUGUCAGUUUCAUUUCUGUUCCUUCUAGUCUUGAUUGUUAUUGUGAUAUUUGUCCACAAGCUAGGUAAUCUAGGCUCCCCUUCCCUAUCAGUCAAAGUAAAUCUAAAUCCAAAUUUGAGUUAAUUCAUGUUGAUACUUGGGGACCAUACAAGGUACCAACUUAUAAUCAUUAUCGAUAUUUUCUCACUGUAGUUGAUGACUAUAGCAGGGCUACUUGGACAUAUUUAUUAGCCAGUAAGAGUAACUCUUUCCAUGCUUUACAGUCCUUUAUACAGAUGGUGCAAAGACAAUUUGAUGCAAAAGUUAAGAUAAUAAGAUCAGAUAAUGCUCUUGAGCUAGGGAAAAGUGAGGCAGGUCUCUGUUUCUUCAACUCCUUUGGCAUCAUUCAUCAGACCUCAUGUGUUGCUUCCCCUCAACAAAAUGGUAUUGUUGAAAGGAAGCACAGACAUCUCCUUGAGACUGCUAGGGCACUCAUGUUUCAAUCAAAAGUUCCUAUGAUUUAUUGGGAGAGUGUAUCUUAACAGCUACUUUUCUUAUUAACAGGUUCCCAUCCAAAGUUCUUGAUGGCAAAACACCUUUUGAAUUGGUCUUUGGGAAAACCCCCACUUAUCAUUUCUUAAGAUGUUUUGGUUGCUUAUGUUAUGCUAAUACUUUGUGUCAGGGGAGAGGAAAAUUUGACUCCAGGGCCAGCAGUUGUGUACUUCUGGGAUAUCCUAUAAAUCAGAAAGGUUACAAGUUAUUGGACCUGCAUACUAAGAAGAUCUUCAUUUCUAGAGAUGUGCAUUUUGUUGAGCACAUAUUUCCUUUUGCUACUGCACAAUCUGUUCCCCCUAUUUUUUCAGAACAUCCUAUUGAUUCAGAUUUUUUUCUUUCUCCAUCUAUUCCUCAGACUUCUACCUCUCCUAAUAUUCCUUCAUUGGAUCCAGUUCUGGCACCCUCUCCUCCUCCACCCAAUUUUGACCCAGUUCCUUCUUCCCUUGAUCCUACUCUCAGAAGGUCCUCUAGGUCUACAUUAGGGAAAGCUCCUCCUCAUCUGCAAGAUUAUAUCUGCAAUCUUAUCACUCUUACUGAUGUCACCCAUUCUUGUUUCUCCUCUACUUACACCCCUUCCCCUAUUUCUGUUCAUACUCUUUCUCCACCCAAUCAAAUCACAAUUCACAAUGCCUCUCAUAUCUUAGAACCUACUAGUUAUGCACAAGCUUGUUCUCAUCCAGGUUGGCUGCAAGCCAUGGAUGCUGAACUUGACGCUUUGCAAUCCAACAACACUUGGGAUGUGGUUCCUUUGCCUCAUGGUCGAAAAGCUUUACCUUGUAAGUGGGUCUACAAAGUUAAGCAACAUGCUGAUGGUACUUUGGAAAGAUUAAAGGCCAGAUUGGUUGUAAGAGGUGACAUACAACAACAGGGGAUUGAUUUCACUGAAACUUUCUCCCCUGUUGUUAAGAUGACCACUAUUAGAUGUUUGUUGGCUAUUGCAGCCAAGAAAUCUUGGGAGAUCUUUCAAUUUGAUGUCAAUAAUGCUUUUCUUCAAGGUGAUCUACAAGAGGAGGUUUAUAUGAAGUUUCCUACAGGUUUGGUUCCUCCUCAACCUAAUAUGGUUGUAAACUCCGCAAGUCUCUCUAUGGUCUCAAACAGGCUUCUCGGCAAUGGUAUGCCAGACUUGCAGGGGCUCUCUCUUUUAAGGGUUUCGUUGCCUCACUCAAUGACUAUUCUUUAUUUUUUAAGAGGUCAGGUUCUCUUACUACUAUCAUUGCUGUCUAUGUGGAUGACAUCCUUAUUACAGGUGAUGAUCAUCAAGAAACCUCUACUCUUAAGUUAUUUCUUCACUCAGAAUUUAAGAUCAAGGACCUUGGUCUUCUACACUAUUUUUUAGGCAUGGAAAUCUUAAUGGAAAAACAGGGUAUUAUCAUCAGUCAAAGAAAAUAUACCUUGGAGCUUUUACAAGAGUUUGAUGUCUCUCAUCUUCCAUCUGUUUCUUCUCCCUUGGAUCCAUCUGUCAAGUUGCUUGCAGAUUCAGGGGAUAUCAUGACAGAUCCUACACUAUACCGACAUCUCAUUGGUAAACUUAACUAUUUGACUCAUACACGCCCCGAUUUGUGUCAUUCCGUUUUGAUCCUUAGUCAAUUUAUGCAAAAGCCGUGCCUGUCCCAUUAUGAUGCUGCUUUGAGAGUGGUGAGUUACCUGCAGCAUUGCCCUAUUCAGGGUCUGUUCAUGUCUUCUUCUUCUUCAUUUUCCCUCAAGGCCUUUUGUGAUGCCGACUGGGCGUCGUGUCGAGAUACAAGAAGGUCAAUUAGUGGUUUUUUCAUCAGUUUGGGCGGUUCACCCAUUUCUUGGAAAUCUAAGAAACAGGCUUCUGUUUCCCUCUCUUCCGCCGAGGCGGAGUAUCGAUCUAUGAGGCGCCUUGUUGCAGAGUUGACCUGGUUGGUGCGCUUACUCUCCGAUCUGUCAGUUCCUCCUGAUCUUCCAGUCCCAGUUCACUCCGACAGUCAAGCUGCCAUCCAUAUCGCCCGAAAUCCGGUCUUUCAUGAACGAACUAAACAUGUUGAUCUCGACUGCCAUUUUGUUCGCCAACAGUACUUAUCUGGACUCAUCUCACUCUCCUUUGUUCCGUCGAAGGCACAACUAGCUGAUCUUCUCACCAAAUCUCUCUCUGGUCCUCUCCAUCACUCUCUUCUUCCCAAGAUGGGUCUCACUCAGCUCCCCUCCAUCUUGCGGGGGGAUGUUGGAAUUAUUGAUGAUAAACAAGGAAAAGAGAUAUCAAAGGGAGAAAAGAAAAACAAGCAAACAAAAGCUUCAUGUUUGGCGUUGAUUUCAUCGGAC